rnacentral:rRNA from 1 species
CAGUCGCCACGGUAAUGCGUAGGUGGCAAGCGUUGUCCGGAGUUAUCGGGCGUAAAGCGCGCGCAGGCGGAUAGGUCAGUCUGUCUUAAAAGUUCGGGGCUUAACCCCGUGAUGGGAUGGAAACUGCCAAUCUAGAGUAUCGGAGAGGAAAGUGGAAUUCCUAGUGUAGCGGUGAAAUGCGUAGAUAUUAGGAAGAACACCAGUGGCGAAGGCGACUUUCUGGACGAAAACUGACGCUGAGGCGCGAAAGCCAGGGGAGCGAACGGGAUUAGAUACCCCUGUAGUCCCUGUCUCUUAUACA